rnacentral:rRNA from 1 species
UACGUAGGGAGCGAGCGUUGUCCGGAUUCAUUGGGCGUAAAGAGCUCGUAGGCGGCUUGGUAAGUCGGAUGUGAAACCUCCAGGCUCAACCUGGAGUCGCCAUCCGAUACUGCCAUGGCUAGAGUCCGGUAGGGGCCCACGGAAUUCCUGGUGUAGCGGUGAAAUGCGCAGAUAUCAGGAGGAACACCGAUGGCGAAGGCAGUGGGCUGGGCCGACACUGACGCUCAUGCACGAAAGCGUGGGGAGCAAACAGG